rnacentral:lncRNA from 1 species
GGUGGUUGUCGAACAAAAUAUAAUUCUGUAGGCCUUUCGGCUUCUCUAUAAAUGUAAAUGUCCGGCUCUCAAAAAUAACAAGCCCACCAAUCUCUUCUCUGCUUCACACUAAGAACCAAACAUGCUCAAACCGUUGCUUCUUCUCCAAUCCUUAUUCUUCUGUCUCUUCAAUGUAAGCAAACUCUUUGAAUCUUUAUAACUACUGUUUUGUUCUGUUCUGAUUUCUUGUUGUCGGGGCAAUGCAGGUCAUUUUCGUCGGAGGACGGUUAACUGGCGGCGGUUUCUCGGCAGGGGAGAAUCCAUUCACUCCAAAAGCAUCUCUGAUUCGUUACUGGAACAAAGAGAUCAGUGCCGACAAAUCUCUCAGAUCAGAGUUCCUAAUCUCCAAGGCGUCACCGCUUAACGCCGUAGACUCAGCCACUUUCGCCAAACUGGCCGCCCAAAACUCACUCCCAACCCGUCUCUCCGACUUCUGCUCCGCCGCGAACCUCUUCUGCUUCCCGGACCUGACCCCGAGCCUCGAGAAGCACGACGACAACGUCAAGUUCUCCGUCUACGACCAAAAAAACUUCAGCACCUACGGCGACGCACGUGCCGCCGGCGCCGACUCGUUCAAAACCUACUCAAAAGGCAACAACGGCGCCAUGGACACUUUCCGGAGAUACAGCCGCAACGCGGCGGGUCACGAAGAUAAGUUCACCGUCUACGGCGAGAGAGGCAACGUCGACGAGAAGGACUUCAACUCCUACGGAACCUUCGGAGCCGGCGGCGCCGGAGACUUCACCAACUACCAAAACGACGUUAACGACCCGAUGAGUCGAUUCACGGCGUAUUCCGACGGCGGAACCGGAAGGUCCCAGACUUUCAAAACCUACACGCACGACGCCAACGCCGGCAACGGCCAAUCGUUCACUAGCUACAGCAAAAAGGGAAACGCGUCGCCGAACGAGUUCGCCUCGUACGGCGACUCAUCCAACGUGAUCGGCUCUGAUUUCAAGAACUACGGCGAGGAAGAAAACGCCGCCAAAGAUACCUUCACCAGCUACGCGAGCGGCGGCAACGUACCGCUUAACAACUUCAAAAACUACGGCGAGUCCGUUAUAUUUAUACUAAGAUCAUACAACUAUACACAAUUAAUGUAACUAGUAAAUAAAUUAAGUUGAUAUAUUUUGAAUUUAAAUGUGUAAGUUUUUGGUGGUUGUCAAGAAAAUAUAAUGGGUGUAGGCUUUUUUCGGCUUCUCUCUAUAUAUAUACUACACAAUCUGCUCUCAAAAUUAACAAGCCCACCAAUCUCUUCUCUGCUUCACACUAAGAACCAAACAUGCUCAAACCGUUGCUUCUUCUCCAAUCCUUAUUCUUCUGUCUCUUCAAUGUAAGCAAACUCUUUGAAUCUUUAUAACUACUGUUUUGUUCUGUUCUGAUUUCUUGUUGUCGGGGCAAUGCAGGUCAUUUUCGUCGGAGGACGGUUAACUGGCGGCGGUUUCUCGGCAGGGGAGAAUCCAUUCACUCCAAAAGCAUCUCUGAUUCGUUACUGGAACAAAGAGAUCAGUGCCGACAAAUCUCUCAGAUCAGAGUUCCUAAUCUCCAAGGCGUCACCGCUUAACGCCGUAGACUCAGCCACUUUCGCCAAACUGGCCGCCCAAAACUCACUCCCAACCCGUCUCUCCGACUUCUGCUCCGCCGCGAACCUCUUCUGCUUCCCGGACCUGACCCCGAGCCUCGAGAAGCACGACGACAACGUCAAGUUCUCCGUCUACGACCAAAAAAACUUCAGCACCUACGGCGACGCACGUGCCGCCGGCGCCGACUCGUUCAAAACCUACUCAAAAGGCAACAACGGCGCCAUGGACACUUUCCGGAGAUACAGCCGCAACGCGGCGGGUCACGAAGAUAAGUUCACCGUCUACGGCGAGAGAGGCAACGUCGACGAGAAGGACUUCAACUCCUACGGAACCUUCGGAGCCGGCGGCGCCGGAGACUUCACCAACUACCAAAACGACGUUAACGACCCGAUGAGUCGAUUCACGGCGUAUUCCGACGGCGGAACCGGAAGGUCCCAGACUUUCAAAACCUACACGCACGACGCCAACGCCGGCAACGGCCAAUCGUUCACUAGCUACAGCAAAAAGGGAAACGCGUCGCCGAACGAGUUCGCCUCGUACGGCGACUCAUCCAACGUGAUCGGCUCUGAUUUCAAGAACUACGGCGAGGAAGAAAACGCCGCCAAAGAUACCUUCACCAGCUACGCGAGCGGCGGCAACGUACCGCUUAACAACUUCAAAAACUACGGCGAGUCCGUUAACGCCGCCAACGAUUCCUUCACGAACUACGGAGGCGGCGGCGGUAAUGUACCGCAGAACAACUUCAAAAGCUACGGCGUCUCCGGUAACGGCGCCGUCGACACUUUCGCGAAUUACAGAGAUAAAGCCAACGUCGGCGACGACUCGUUCUCCGGUUACGCGAAAGAUUCGAAUUCCGGUACGGUUAAAUUCACAAAUUACGGUCAGUCUUACAAUCCCGGUUCGGAAUCGUUCACCAGUUAUGGGAAAGGAAGCGAAGGACAGAAGAUCAGUUUCAAAACGUACACACCGAACUCCACCUUCAAGGACUACGCUAAAAACGGCGUCGCUUUCGCCAAGUAUAAUGUGUCAUCCAUCGGGGAUGGCAAAACCGUGAAUAAGUGGAUAGAGCCGGGUAAAUUCUUUAGAGAGUCAACGCUUAAAGAAGGCACAGUGAUUGCUAUGCCUGACAUUAAGGAUAAAAUGCCUAAAAGGUCGUUUUUGCCCCGGAGCAUCGUCUCUAAGCUACCGUUCUCGACCUCCAAGCUCGCCGAGGUUAAGAUGAUCUUCCACGCCGGAGAUAACUCGUCGAUGGAGAAGAUCAUCUCCGACGCGGUGACGGAGUGCGAGAGGCCACCGAGCGUGGGAGAGACUAAACGCUGCGUUGGAUCAGCGGAGGAUAUGAUCGAUUUCGCCACGUCGGUGCUUGGUCGUAGCGUGGUGCUAAGAACGACGGAGAAUGUGGCGGGGUCAAAGCAGAAGGUGGUGAUUGGAAAAGUCAACGGAAUCAACGGUGGGAAGUUGACAAAAGCUGUUUCGUGUCACCAGAGUUUGUACCCGUAUCUGUUGUAUUACUGCCACUCGGUUCCUAAGGUUCGGGUGUACGAAGCGGAUCUUCUUGAGUUGAAUAGUAAGACUAAGAUCAACCAUGGGAUUGCCAUCUGCCAUAUUGACACGUCAUCAUGGAGUCCGGGACAUGGAGCUUUCUUAGCUCUCGGGUCGAAACCAGGUCGGAUUGAGGUUUGUCAUUGGAUAUUUGAGAACGACAUGAACUGGGCUAUCGCCGAUUAGAACCGGUUCCAAAGUUUUAUCACCAAGAUUUGAAUAGUGGAAUUUUAGUCUUCGGUAACAGUAAAGCUUGUUACUGAUUUGUGUGUGAUUGUAAGAAUAAUAAUAAUCUUUGAAGAGCCGAUUCGUGGAAUGUUAGACCAUGUUUAUCCCUGCUUAAAACUGGGUUUCUUAAUGUAAGGGUCUCACCAAAAUCUUUAAAACUCAUCACAAAAGCAAGCAAAUAAGGAUCCAUCUUUCUCUGUUUCUUUGACUGUUAGCGUACAGCACAGACACGUGGCGAUCCACGAUUGGUUUGUCUUUUAAUUAAAUUUUUUUUUUCGGACAAAAAAAACAAAAUACAAAAAAAUUUACCUAUGAUUCCGUGCAUACGUUUAGCAUGCUCUUAGUUUUCAGUAACAGUAAAGGCUUGUUACUGAUUUGUGUGUGAUGGUAAGAAUAAUAAUAAUCUUUGAAGAGCCAAUUUCAAGAUUAUUGUAAUAAUCACAAUAAACAAUUAUCUUUAUUAUAUAUCAUUGUAGAGAAUGUUUGUUGACGCAAUUUAUGUUUAUGGCUGGUUGGAUUCGAUGACUGGAUAUAUAUUUUAUCUACAAAUUAAGGGAUCAUGGAUCGAUAUAGAUAUAUUAUUAUCAUGAAGCAUCCGAGCCUCGUACGGCGACUCAUCCAACGUGAUCGGCUCUGAUUUCAAGAACUACGGCGAGGAAGAAAACGCCGCCAAAGAUACCUUCACCAGCUACGCGAGCGGCGGCAACGUACCGCUUAACAACUUCAAAAACUACGGCGAGUCCGUUAACGCCGCCAACGAUUCCUUCACGAACUACGGAGGCGGCGGCGGUAAUGUACCGCAGAACAACUUCAAAAGCU